rnacentral:rRNA from 1 species
UACGUAGGGUGCGAGCGUUGUCCGGAAUUAUUGGGCGUAAAGGGCUCGUAGGCGGUUUGUCACGUCAGGAGUGAAAACUCGGGGCUCAACCCCGAGCCUGCUUCUGAUACGGGCAGACUGGAGGUAUGCAGGGGAGAACGGAAUUCCUGGUGUAGCGGUGAAAUGCGCAGAUAUCAGGAGGAACACCGGUGGUGAAGGCGGUUCUCUGGGCAUUACCUGACGCUGAGGAGCGAAAGUGUGGGGAGCGAACAGG